GAUGAACGCUGUCUACAGGCUUAACACAUGCAAGUCGAGGGGAAACGACGGGGAAGCUUGCUUCCCCGGGCGUCGACCGGCGCACGGGUGAGUAACGCGUAUCCAACCUGCCUCUGACUGAGGGAUAACCCGUCGAAAGUCGGCCUAAUACCUCAUGGCAUCGUCUGCGGGCAUCCAACGACGAUUAAAGAUUUCAUCGGUCAGGGAUGGGGAUGCGUCUGAUUAGCUUGUUGGCGGGGUAACGGCCCACCAAGGCUACGAUCAGUAGGGGUUCUGAGAGGAAGGUCCCCCACAUUGGAACUGAGACACGGUCCAAACUCCUACGGGAGGCAGCAGUGAGGAAUAAUGGUCAAUGGGCGGGAGCCUGAACCAGCCAAGUAGCGUGCAGGAUGACGGCCCUAUGGGUUGUAAACUGCUUUUAUGCGGGGAUAAAGUGAGGGACGUGUCCUUCAUUGCAGGUACCGCAUGAAUAAGGACCGGCUAAUUCCGUG
rnacentral:rRNA from 1 species